UACGACUACAUAUCAGGCAUAUCAAUAAGCGGAGGAAAAGAAACUAACAAGGAUUCCCCUAGUAACGGCGAGUGAAGCGGGAAGAGCUCAAAUUUGAAAUCUUAAAGGGUUUCCCUUUACGAAUUGUAGUUUAAAGAAGUGUUUUCUGUUGGAGUUUCGGUAAAAGUUCUUUGGAAUAGGACAUCAUAGAGGGUGAGAAUCCCGUAUUUGACCAUUACUUUCCAGCUGUGUGAUACACUUUCAAAGAGUCGGAUUGUUUGGGAAUGCAGUCCAAAAUGGGUGGUAAAUUUCAUCUAAAGCUAAAUAUUGGCGAGAGACCGAUAGCGAACAAGUACCGUGAGGGAAAGAUGAAAAGAACUUUGAAAAGAGAGUUAAACAGUACGUGAAAUUGUCAAAAGGGAAGCGUUUGACACCAGUGUUGUUUUUCCGAAAAUCAAUUACGAAUGGCUUGAUUUUGUGUUGUAUUGACCUUAUCAGCUUUCUUCACUUUUUUCGAGUCUUUCUUAAUGCACUUUUUGGUUAACAAGUCAACAUCAAUUUCUUUUGUUGUAAAAGAGUAUUCGGAAGGUGGCUUUCUUUUCGGAGAAAGUGUUUAUAGCCCUAUACUUCUACAAUCGGAGAGAUUGAGGUCUGCAGCGUAGAUCCUUCGGGGUUAGAUACACUUGUGCUAAGUUGUAGCUUUUCAUAGACAACUUGUUGACUAUGUUUAGUCAUGCGGCUUACUCGCUUGUGCUAUUUUACCUACGCUUAGGAUGUUGAGUAGCGACAUACGCA
rnacentral:rRNA from 1 species